GGCUCGAGGACGAACGCUGGCGGCGUGCCUAACACAUGCAAGUCGAGCGGAGAUUUCGGGGGAGCUUGCUCCGACCGGGAUUUAGCGGCGGACGGGUGAGUAACGCGUGAGCAACCUGCCUUCAACAGGGGGAUAACGCAUCGAAAGAUGUGCUAAUACCGCAUGAGACCACAACAUCACAUGGUGGAAGGGGUACAAAGGAGCAAUCCGGUUGAAGAUGGGCUCGCGUCCGAUUAGCUGGUUGGUGAGACAACAGCCCACCAAGGCGACGAUCGGUAGCCGACCUGAGAGGGUGAUCGGCCACAUUGGAACUGAGAUACGGUCCAGACUCCUACGGGAGGCAGCAGGUGGGGAAUAGUUGGGCAAUGGGCGAAAAACGCCUCGACCCAGCAACGCCGCGUGAGGGAAGAAGGUUUCGGCUCGUAAACCUCUGUCCUGUGGGACGAAGGAAGUGACGGUACCACAGGAGGAAGCCCCGGCUAACUACGUGCCAGCCGCCGC
rnacentral:rRNA from 1 species